rnacentral:rRNA from 1 species
AGAGUUUGAUCAUGGCUCAGCCUGAACGCUGGCGGCGUGGCUAAGACAUGCAAGUCGCACGGGUGUAGCAAUACAUCAGUGGCGGACGGGUGAGUAAUGUAUCGCUAACGUACCCUGGAGUCUGGGAUAGCCAACCGAAAGGUUGGGUAAUACCAGGUAAUGUAUCCUGAUCGCAUGAUCGGGAUCCCAAAGGAGUAAUCCGAUCUGGGAGCGGGCGAUAUCGUAUCAGCUAGUUGGUAGGGUAACGGCCUACCAAGGCGACGACGCGUAGCCGGACUGAGAGGUUGGCCGGCCACAUUGGGACUGAGACACUGCCCAGACUCCUACGGGGGGCUGCAGUAACGAAUCUUCCGCAAUGCACGAAAGUGUGACGGAGCGACGCCGCGUGUGGGACGAAGUCCUUCGGGAUGUAAACCACUGUCAGGGGUUAGAAAGUUCUGAUCAACCCCAGAGGAAGGCACGGCUAACUCUGUGCCAGCAGCCGCGGUAAGACAGAGGUGCCAAGCGUUAGGCGGAAUCACUGGGCUUAAAGCGUGUGUAGGUGGACUGGUAAGUACCUUGUGAAAUCCCACGGCUUAACCGUGGAACUGCUUGGUAUACUGCUGGUCUUGAGCAACUUAGGGGCGAGCGGAACAAAUGGUGGAGCGGUGAAAUGCGUAGAUAUCAUUUGGAACGCCAAUGGUGAAAACAGCUCGCUGGGAGUUUGCUGACACUGAGACACGAAAGCCAGGGGAGCAAACGGGAUUAGAUACCCCCGUAGUCC